GAUGAACGCUAGCUACAGGCUUAACACAUGCAAGUCGUGGGGCAGCGGAUGCUUAGCUUGCUAAGUAUGCCGGCGACCGGCGCACGGGUGAGUAACGCGUACCGAACCUGCCCAUCACACAGGGAUAGGCUUGCGAAAGCAAGAUUAAUACCUGAUGGUCUCAGUUGUAUGCAUGUAUAAUUGAGUAAAGCCUUCGGGCGGUGAUGGAUGGCGGUGCGUCCCAUUAGGAAGUUGGCGGGGUAACGGCCCACCAAUCCUUCGAUGGGUAGGGGUUCUGAGAGGAAGGUCCCCCACAUUGGAACUGAGAUACGGUCCAAACUCCUACGGGAGGCAGCAGUGAGGAAUAUUGGUCAAUGGGCGAGAGCCUGAACCAGCCAAGUAGCGUGCGGGAUGAAGGCCCUUGUGGUCGUAAACCGCUUUUAUCAGUAAAUAAAGUGCACCACGUGUGGUGUCAUUGCAGGUAGCUGAAGAAAAAGGACCGGCUAAUUCCGUGCCAGCAGCCGCGGUAAUACGGAAGGUCCGGGCGUUAUCCGGAAUUAUUGGGUUUAAAGGGAGCGCAGGCGGGAGUGUAAGUCAGCUGUUAAAUAUCAGGGCCCAACUCUGUUAUGCAGUUGAAACUAUAUUUCUUGAGUACGCACAGGGAUGGCGGAAUUCAGGGUGUAGCGGUGAAAUGCUUAGAUAUCCUGAAGAACUCCGAUCGCGAAGGCAGCCAUCCGGAGCGUAACUGACGCUGAGGCUCGAAGGUGCGGGUAUCGAACAGG
rnacentral:rRNA from 1 species